UAUCAGGUAGGAUACGUUCGUGGGGAGAAAAUCGGAACGUCGAGGCAUUCUUUGUAAGGUAGAAUUUCAAUAAUAUUCAGCGGCUUUAGUUAACGUAAAUGUAGCAUAGGAUUAGAAGUGCCGCGUUGUUGGCUACUUUGUCGUGGAUUAUUUCAUAUAAUUGGUUUAACAUUUUACACAAUUUUUUGAUCGUAAAGUGAAGUGAUAUAUUAUAGAACGCAAAGAAGGAAGAUAUAACGGCAAUUUAUAAGUUUAUGUAGUUAAAUACUUUGAAAUAAUGUCAUGAGAUUAGCUUGAAUGGGCUAUGGACGUGGGAGAAGUUGCGCAUUUGACCAGCAGGUGGCGUUAGCCUGUUAACAGUAGGACAGCGUUCAGACACCCUGCAACGGGACUGUGUUUUUCACGACAUUGUUUUUCCUGUUUUCUCACGUUAAUCACGGAUCUUCGGCGCGAUUUUUGGCCUCAGAGAUAUCGCUCGAAAUAUUUUGGACCCGAGUUCCUUUACGGAGAAGAGGCGCUUCGUGUAUCCGUGUAAAUGCAAAGUUUGUCACGUAAUUUUUCUGAACGCCAGGGCCGCAUCUAUCAACCCUACUUCCCAACCGGUCGCUUACCUAUCGCAGUCCAGACGAAUUAUGUAGUUUUUCUACUUGGUGUACAAUACAUUUAUUGUUCCUGCCUUAUAUUUAAGAGGAAAGGAGCCCAAUGUGGGUUGAAGUGAGAUGGCAUCCAGAGAAAAACGACCCUUAGCGCCUUCAAAAUCAAAACAGAAGGCGAAUAAUGACUCUGGCUUGCCAUCUAAUGAAGUCAAAAGUAGAAAAGGCAAGUCUUUGUCCAAUAUAAAACAACAGCUUGCACGUGAUAUUUUUGAUGCAGUAGCAACGGGCAGUCAACUUCCUGCAAAAUUAGAAGCAAGUUUGCCACGAAAGAAGGUUUUGAAGAACCUUAAGCGUAAACAGAAAUUAAGAGUAACAAAAACUAAUAAUUUCAUUAAGACAAAAGUUACCAAAAAAGUAGGAAGUAAAAAUUUAUGCAGAAUAAAUUCUGAUAUCAAGAAAGGUAUUAAAGCAAGG